ACUCGAGUGGCGAACGGGUGAGUAACACGUGGGUGAUCUGCCCUGCACUCCGGGAUAAGCUUGGGAAACUGGGUCUAAUACCGGAUAGGAGCCAUCUUUAGUGUGGUGGUUGGAAAGUUUUUCGGUGUAGGAUGAGCUCGCGGCCUAUCAGCUUGUUGGUGGGGUAAUGGCCUACCAAGGCGGCGACGGGUAGCCGGCCUGAGAGGGUGUACGGCCACAUUGGGACUGAGAUACGGCCCAG
rnacentral:rRNA from 1 species